rnacentral:rRNA from 1 species
CCUANGGGUGGCUGCAGUUGGGAAUAUUGCACAAUGGACGACAGUCUGAUGCAGCGACGCCGCGUGAAGGAAGAAGCCCCUCGGGGUGUAAACUUCUUUUUUAGGGGACGAUUGUGACGGUACCCUAAGAAUAAGGGCCUGCUAACUACGUGCCAGCAGCAGCGGUAAUACGUAGGGCCCGAGCGUUAUCCGGAUUUAUUGGGCGUAAAGCGCAUGUAGGUGGUAUUUUAAGUCGAACUUCAAAGCCCGCAGCUCAACUGCGGUCCUGGGUUCGAUACUGAAAUACUUUGAGGAUAGCAGGGGCAAGCGGAAUUCCCGGUGUAGCAGUGAAAUGCGUUGAUAUCGGGAAGAACACCAAUGGCGAAGGCAGCUUGCUAGGCUAUUCCUGACACUAAGAUGCGAAAGCGUGGGGAGCGAACGGGAUUAGAUACCCUANUANUC